CGCAGGCUCCCGGCGCCCGGGGCGGCUGCGAGGCCCUAAGCGUGGGGCGCUGCGGCCGCAGGCCCGUCCCGGGUGAAAUCCCCUGACUCCCAUGGAGGGACCCAGGGCCGGCCCCAGGAGCCCAUCCCCGGGCGCUGCUCGGGCUUAGAAAGGGCGUCAGGCUCGGGCGGGAACCACCUGCUCUCUGCCCACCGCUCGGGCGCUGUUGGCAGCAAGAUCGUCCGUGCAGGUUCCUCCCCGCGAAGCGCACUAGGAGCGCCCGGCACACUUUGGUGCCCUUCCUGCCAGGGCAAGCGAGGCUGAGCUGUUUGUCCACAGUGACAGGGUCACCGAGUGCCAGAUUCGGAAAGCGUCGCCCAAGUCUGCUCUAGGUCUGUCGUGCCCCGCAGACUGUUCCGCUGCGGCCUGUCUGAAGGCAACGUCAGUGGGACUGGCCAGGGACAGCUCGCAAACCCGGGUGUCCCGCACGGUUCCGAAGGCGCACCGCCCGGGGCCAGGCUUGGGGCAGGGUCACGCUCAGGCUCUCGGGAGAUGGCAGGUGCCUUCUUGGCCAGACCAUGGCACCUGAGGACUGGACCUCACUUCCUGCAUGCGGGUCUUUCUGUGGUCUGCACACGGGACAAGCCCGCAGGCUCCCAGAGCAAGUAUUCCAAGGAAGAGAAAGAAAUUGAGAGCACAGGACAGAAACCACGGUCUUCCAGCCUCUCGGCAGGCGUGGCCCCCAUCACCCUUGCAGGCUCCCGACCACGCUCACGCUCCAAGACAGGGCCUUGUUAGCUUGGUUCCAGGCAGGAACUCGAAAAAUAUAUAUGGGACGGAAUGCGGUUAAUAGAAAACUGAGGUUUAUAAAACACUAGCGCAGGAAUCUGGAGAGUCCCCGAGAUUAUAAACCUAGCAGACAGCUGUAGUCAGCACUCCCCCCCCAUAAGGAGGGAACUGCCCUCCUCCCUUAUCUCUGCAAGGUGAGACUGAGACAGGGGUCUCAGAGACAAUAAAAAAAAAUACAGUGGCUGUUCUGUCCCAGAUACUCGCUCCCCCGUGAAAACCCUCCGUAAAACCCAAGAUUUUCCCCUCCCUCAGGGUAGACACUCUUUGGCCUCCACCCGUCUGCACCCAGAUACUCAAAAUAAA